rnacentral:rRNA from 1 species
UACAGAGGGUGCUAGCGUUGUUCGGAAUCACUGGGCGUAAAGGGCGCGUAGGCGGCAUGCCAAGCGUGUGGUGAAAGCCCGGGGCUCAACCCCGGGUCGGCCGUGCGGACUGGCGUGCUCGAGCACUGUAGGGGCGGGUGGAAUUCCGGGUGUAGCGGUGGAAUGCGUAGAGAUCCGGAAGAACACCGGUGGCGAAGGCGGCCCGCUGGGCAGGAAGGCUCGCAAGAGCCGGCUGACGCUGAGGCGCGACAGCGUGGGGAGCAAACAGG